GGGAAGUUGGCUCAGUGGUAGAGCGCUUGCCUCACAUGCAUGAGGCCCUGGGUUUGAUUCCUCA
rfam:Dipodomys ordii contig_27640, whole genome shotgun sequence.